UUAUACAGCGAAACUGCGAAUGGCUCAUUAAAUCAGUUAUCGUUUAUUUGAUAGUACCUUACUACUUGGAUAACCGUGGUAAUUCUAGAGCUAAUACAUGCUAAAAACCCCGACUCACGAAGGGGUGUAUUUAUUAGAUUAAAAACCAAUGCCCUUCGGGGCUCUUUGGUGAUUCAUAAUAACUUUUCGAAUCGCAUGGCCUUGCGCCGGCGAUGGUUCAUUCAAAUUUCUGCCCUAUCAACUUUCGAUGGCAGGGUCUUGGCCUGCCAUGGUUACAACGGGUAACGGAGGGUUAGGGCUCGACCCCGGAGAAGGAGCCUGAGAAACGGCUACUACAUCCAAGGAAGGCAGCAGGCGCGCAAAUUACCCAAUCCCGAUUCGGGGAGGUAGUGACAAUAAAUACUGAUACAGGGCUCUUUUGGGUCUUGUAAUUGGAAUGAGUACAAUUUAAAUCCCUUAACGAGGAACAAUUGGAGGGCAAGUCUGGUGCCAGCAGCCGCGGUAAUUCCAGCUCCAAUAGCGUAUAUUAAAGUUGUUGCAGUUAAAAAGCUCGUAGUUGAACCUUGGGCCUGGCUGGCCGGUCCGCCUCACCGCGUGCACUGGUUCGGCCGGGCCUUUCCCUCUGGGGAACCUCAUGGUCUUCACUGAUCGUGAUGGGGAACCAGGACUUUUACUGUGAAAAAAUUAGAGUGUUCAAAGCAGGCCUAUGCUCGAAUACAUUAGCAUGGAAUAAUAAAAUAGGACGUGUGGUUCUAUUUUGUUGGUUUCUAGGACCGCCGUAAUGAUUAAUAGGGACAGUCGGGGGCAUCAGUAUUCAAUUGUCAGAGGUGAAAUUCUUGGAUUUAUUGAAGACUAACUACUGCGAAAGCAUUUGCCAAGGAUGUUUUCAUUAAUCAGGAACGAAAGUUAGGGGAUCGAAGACGAUCAGAUACCGUCGUAGUCUUAACCAUAAACUAUGCCGACUAGGGAUCGGACGGUGUUACUUAUUGACCCGUUCGGCACCUUACGAGAAAUCAAAGUC
rnacentral:rRNA from 2 species